rnacentral:rRNA from 1 species
UAAGAAUAGAAUGAAAGGGAGAACGAGUAAACACUUUUAUUCAUUUUAAUAUAUUAAAUUUAUAUAAAAGUAAAAAAGCUUUUAUAAAAAAAAAAGACGACAAGACCCUAUAGAACUUAACUAAAAGUUAAACUGGGGUGGUUAAUUAUAAAAACUAAUUCAAAUAAUAAUAAAAACUUAUUAUAUAAAAUAAAAAGUUACCUUAGGGAUAACAGCAUAAUUUAAUUUUAAAGUUCUUAUAUAUAAUUAAAAUUAUGACCUCGAUGUUGAAUUAU